rnacentral:rRNA from 2 species
AAAUUGAAGAGUUUGAUCAUGGCUCAGAUUGAACGCUGGCGGCAGGCCUAACACAUGCAAGUCGAGCGGUAGCACAGAGAGCUUGCUCUCGGGUGACGAGCGGCGGACGGGUGAGUAAUGUCUGGGAAACUGCCUGAUGGAGGGGGAUAACUACUGGAAACGGUAGCUAAUACCGCAUAACGUCGCAAGACCAAAGUGGGGGACCUUCGGGCCUCAUGCCAUCAGAUGUGCCCAGAUGGGAUUAGCUAGUAGGUGGGGUAACGGCUCACCUAGGCGACGAUCCCUAGCUGGUCUGAGAGGAUGACCAGCCACACUGGAACUGAGACACGGUCCAGACUCCUACGGGAGGCAGCAGUGGGGAAUAUUGCACAAUGGGCGCAAGCCUGAUGCAGCCAUGCCGCGUGUGUGAAGAAGGCCUUCGGGUUGUAAAGCACUUUCAGCGGGGAGGAAGGCGUUAAGGUUAAUAACCUUAGCGAUUGACGUUACCCGCAGAAGAAGCACCGGCUAACUCCGUGCCAGCAGCCGCGGUAAUACGGAGGGUGCAAGCGUUAAUCGGAAUUACUGGGCGUAAAGCGCACGCAGGCGGUCUGUCAAGUCGGAUGUGAAAUCCCCGGGCUCAACCUGGGAACUGCAUUCGAAACUGGCAGGCUAGAGUCUUGUAGAGGGGGGUAGAAUUCCAGGUGUAGCGGUGAAAUGCGUAGAGAUCUGGAGGAAUACCGGUGGCGAAGGCGGCCCCCUGGACAAAGACUGACGCUCAGGUGCGAAAGCGUGGGGAGCAAACAGGAUUAGAUACCCUGGUAGUCCACGCCGUAAACGAUGUCGAUUUGGAGGUUGUGCCCUUGAGGCGUGGCUUCCGGAGCUAACGCGUUAAAUCGACCGCCUGGGGAGUACGGCCGCAAGGUUAAAACUCAAAUGAAUUGACGGGGGCCCGCACAAGCGGUGGAGCAUGUGGUUUAAUUCGAUGCAACGCGAAGAACCUUACCUGGUCUUGACAUCCACAGAACUUUCCAGAGAUGGAUUGGUGCCUUCGGGAACUGUGAGACAGGUGCUGCAUGGCUGUCGUCAGCUCGUGUUGUGAAAUGUUGGGUUAAGUCCCGCAACGAGCGCAACCCUUAUCCUUUGUUGCCAGCGGUUAGGCCGGGAACUCAAAGGAGACUGCCAGUGAUAAACUGGAGGAAGGUGGGGAUGACGUCAAGUCAUCAUGGCCCUUACGACCAGGGCUACACACGUGCUACAAUGGCAUAUACAAAGAGAAGCGACCUCGCGAGAGCAAGCGGACCUCAUAAAGUAUGUCGUAGUCCGGAUUGGAGUCUGCAACUCGACUCCAUGAAGUCGGAAUCGCUAGUAAUCGUAGAUCAGAAUGCUACGGUGAAUACGUUCCCGGGCCUUGUACACACCGCCCGUCACACCAUGGGAGUGGGUUGCAAAAGAAGUAGGUAGCUUAACCUUCGGGAGGGCGCUUACCACUUUGUGAUUCAUGACUGGGGUGAAGUCGUAACAAGGUAACCGUAGGGGAACCUGCGGUUGGAUCACCUCCUUACCUUAAAGAA